rnacentral:rRNA from 1 species
CCCAGUAAACGGCGGCCGUAACUAUAACGGUCCUAAGGUAGCGAAAUUCCUUGUCAGGUAAGUUCUGACCCGCACGAAUGGCGUAACGACUUGAGAGCUGUCUCAACAACAUACCCGGCGAAAUUGAAGUACUGGUAAAGAUGCCAGUUACCCGUGAUAAGACGGAAAGACCCCAUGGAGCUUUACUGUAACUUGAUAUUGAAUUUUUGUAUUACAUGUACAGGAUAGGUGGGAGACAGAGAACUAAUGCCGCCAGGUGUUAGGGAGUCGAUGUUGGGAUACCACUCUUGUAAUAUGAAGGUUCUAACCUGCACCCGUGAAUCCGGGUGGGGGACACUGUCAGGUGGACAGUUUGACUGGGGCGGUCGCCUCCUAAAAGGUAACGGAGGCGUUCAAAGGUUGGUUCAGCACGGACGGAAAUCGUGCAACGAGUGCAAACGCAUAAACCAGCCUAACUGCGAGACCGACAAGUCGAGCAGUAACGAAAGUUGGAGUUAGUGAUCCGGCGGUAUGAGAGUGGAAUUGCCGUCGCUCAACGGAUAAAAGCUACCCUGGGGAUAACAGGCUGAUCUCCCCCAAGAGUCCACAUCGACGGGGAGGUUUGGCACCUCGAUGUCGGCUCAUCGCAUCCUGGAGCUGUAGUCGGUUCCAAGGGUUGGGCUGUUCGCCCAUUAAAGCGGUACGCGAGCUGGGUUCAGAACGUCGCGAGACAGUUCGGUCCCUAUCUAUCACGGGCGUAGGAAAUUUGAGGAGAGCUGACCUUAGUACGAGAGGACCGGGUUGGACGUACCGCUGGUGCACCUGUUGUUCUGCCAAGGGCAUAGCAGGGUAGCUAAGUACGGACGGGAUAAACGCUGAAGGCAUCUAAGCGUGAAGCCCCCUUCGAGAUAAGAUUUCCCAUAGCGUAGGCUAGUAAGGACCCAUGAAGACUACAUGGUUGAUAGGCCGGAGGUGGAAGUGCAGUAAUGUAUGUAGCUGACCGGUACUAAUAGUCCGAGGGCUUGACCAA